AUAUAUCCCUGCAAGUACCCCAACGUGCAAGUUGGAAUUCCCCUCGCGCUGAAGCGUGGAGUGUAAUUAGGUAUAUAAACAGGCAAUAUCCACGCGGGGACAUAAAGGCUACAACACAGGCGGUUGGCAGGUCAAUGGAAAUUUACCCACGGCAGGCGAGCGGUAUGUAAAUGCAGCGAUAGGUGAAAUGACACUUGAAUUCAACUACCAUUGGCAUCAGCUGAUUUAAUUUGACCACCACAGCAAUUUAUUCAAUCUUAGUAUCAGUCUUUUUACUGAGAAUAAAAUCCAGCGAUCUGAGAAGGCCAUGUGACGCGGAAAGGACCUGGAUUGAAAGCCGGCUUUAGAUAAAUCUGAAGUCAGAAUUCACGGUUGCUGCAGAGAAACCCAGUGUCUUCCAUCGGAUACUGAUAGUCUUCAGGUUCUUUACAAAUGGAAUCUGUGGGUCUAAUCUUACUAAUUCCAUUCUGUGUGUGUUUUUUGUUGUUAUUCAUCGUGUGCUGUUUUGCUGAUGAAAUCAAGAAAAUGUGUCGUAUGCCAAAUCAACUUCCGCAACAUUAUAUACCAAGUGAUCGCGCCGAAGCCGAUCGCGAGCGCCGUAGACGUCAAAGGCGAAACCAGCGCCAGGCAAGAGCAAGUGUUCAUGGACAAAGACCCUCGGGAUCAGACGUUGAGUCAUUGGUGGGUUGGCGUAGUCGGAAUUCCUCUGGUAGUUCAGGGUACAGUUCGGAUGUUAGUCCAUUUUUGGUAUUAGCGGUUGUGACAUCAGAGGUACAACCAAACGGGGAAGUAAUUACGUCACAUGUAGACGCUCAAAGUUUGCUGCAGUUGCAAACUGUAGACGGACCAGCACUCAGUGCUUCACAGACACUCACCUGCAGUAUUGAGGAAUGUGAACAUGUUUAGCACUCCUCCUAAAAGUGUUCUUAAAAUCUUUGUAAUCAAUGCAAUUUAAGUGUCGUUUUGUUUCAUAUGCAAUGUGAUAAUUCAGAACGAGAUGUUCCAGAUUUGUUGUCUCACUGUGUGGAUAUUUCUUUUGUUUUCAUUCCCAUUGUUUAGCGGCAUACGUCUGCCAUCACUUGUCAGAUAAUUAUGUUGACUUGUCAGUUAAUAAUAUCGAUUUCUCAGAUGAUUAUGUAGACUUCUCGGGAAAAAUAUCAUUUAUAUUUUUUCAUUAUCUUGUAAUACUGAUAUACCAAUGCUGACAUCGACAAGUCAAGACCACGAUCGGACAAGUCGAUAUAAUUAUCUGUAAUUUGUCAGAUCUUUAUUUCUAUGUUGUUAAGUGGAUGUUACAUUUUGGGCUUGAAAUCAUAUUAUUGUUUCAACACUUUUUAAUUAUUCGACAUUUAGACAAAAAUUAUCUGUCAAGUCAACAUAAUUACUUGUAAAUGACAAUUUGAUAUGAUUAUCUGAUAAGUCUGCAUAAUUAUCUGACACGUGAUGGCAGGACUUUGCCACCUUUCCAAUUGAAAAAUCAAUCAACUUGUUUUGUAGACUGUAAGAUAAGAAUUAUAACGCACAAUGUAUGUAUGUAUGCACAGAAAAUCCGUUUGUAUACUUUUUUGAUACAGAAUUUUACAGGACAAAUUACAUUUUGUAGAUGGGCUUAAUGACUUUUGUGCGCCAGGCGAGUGCUUUAUUCCAAGGCCCACUAUUCUCAAUGUGACGAUGUCUUGUCUUUAGAGAUUGCCAAAGCAUUCAAAUGAUAGUAUCCAGGUUACGUUAGUGUAUGUAAUAACAUGCAGAGGAAUCUGUCGUGGAAGAGAGGUGAAUUAUUGAAUGCCAUUCUAUGAAGGCACUAGACUAGUCCAUGUUUACUUAAUACACAAAGCACAGUGUACAAGGUGUAAUAACUAUAUCGAUCAAAUAAUGCAUUUAUUCCAUCUUCACAUUGGUUUACAUUUUUCAUCUUAGAAACUAAUUUAUUUCCAUUGAUUCUCUCAAUUCAACCAUAUAUAUUUCAUAGAGUGCAUGUGUGAUCGGCCUGCGGUACUGUCUUAUGAGAUUAGCAAAUCAUAUUUGGUGUAACUUCGUUGUUUUUAAGAAUCUCAAUUUCUAUGUAGAUUUAUUUUACGUCUUUUCUACUUUUACUUUUUUUUAUUGUAAGGACUUAUUUUAUUCAGGGAUGAACAGAUGAAAGUUAUCGCGGAUGAAUCUUUUUGCUCUUUACUAUCCUCUAGUUAAUUAAAAUGAUUGUAAAAUGAGUACGUUGUUCAUCUAAUGAUGCAUUUGAGAUUGAUUGUACUGAUGUAGGAAAACUACACAAUUUAUCAUGUAAAAUGUCCACAGUUUUACUUAUUUCCAAUGGAAAUUUCUAAUAAUACUUUGAUCAAUAUUACAAUUUAUACAUAACAUUUCCAAGUAUUACACUGCUUUAGACAGGGAAUAUAGUUCCUGUUUGUAAGUGUUCAUGUAUAUAUAUAUAUAUAUAUAUAUAUAUAUAUAUAUAUAUAUAUAUACACACACACACAUUUGUCACGUGACUAUCUGACUAUCAAGUUGAACACUAAAAUCCAUUCAUUGUAUUGUAAACACGUGUUCUUUACAUAGUGUUAUUUGUUUGUUUGGGGGUUGGGUAUAUAUUUUUUGUUUUGGUUAUCAUUCUUGACUUCAGAUCACUAUCAGAAUGACGGUUGGGUUCAUCAUUAGGGAAAAUGAAUAUGUGAUUAAAAAAAAAUAAGCUGGCCAACUUUGAAAAAUGGACCUAUGCAGUAUAUAUUGGAACCAAGUAUAUAUGUACAAUUCCCUUUCACUCUUUAAGUUACUGAUACUGUAUCUGCAAAUUUUAAUAAUUAGACGUUUUUGCUCAAUAUUGAGGCAGUGUUUGGAAUUUGUCUUUGAUAUUGUGAAGAACUCCAAGGUGAGAACUCUUUCAGACUCGGUGUGUUGUAUGUUCACCGUUGUGUGGGGUAUGUAAUAGGGCUCAGAAUUUGUCAAUGGUGAAAUUAUGCGCUUUCAGUCGACAACGAAUCGUAUAUACUUCAAGCUUAUAUGUCAACUCAAUCAAACUGAAUAAAUGUUAUGAUGUGAAA